CUUAGAGAAAUACUCUAAGUAUUAGUAAGUACUCUAAUACCUACUUAGAGAAAUACUCUAAUUCCAAAUAAACUGAUUUGGGAAACAGGUUUGUGUAAGCAAGCUUCAGGUUGUCCAGACAUACAGGAUCACCCUAUGUUUUCCCUAAGGAGGUCAGAAAACUCUGAGUCUCAGGUGCAGUUCAUGUGCAGAAAACCAACACUGCUUUGAGGUGUAACACAGCUGUGUCCAGUGAGAUUGAUGAAAAUAAGUUAAUCUCUGCUUUGAGAGCUCCUCUUGGAGGAAACAGCCACGGAAUUAUUGGCUGGAUCCUUCCCUGCUGCCCUGCCAUGGUCUUGAGGCCAGAGAAGAUCAUAAAGGCGUUCUGGGCAGCCUGAUCCAGUGACUGACCUAGCAGUUGGCAACACAGCCCAUGGCAAGGUGUUGGGACUAAAUGACCUCCGAGAUCUCUUCCAACCCAAGCCAUUUUAUGAAUAAAUCACACCUAGAACAAAAGGCCAACAAUGAAGUAUCUGCUGGUGUUGAAAAAGAGAUGAUAUGCCAGCUUCAGUUAGCAGCAUGAAUUCAGUCUGUAAAUGACUCCAAGAUUUAAACUUGUAGUUUUAAGGUGUUUAUAAUAACAAUACAACGCUGAAAUUCCCUUUAUAUUCAGAAGUUUGCUCUUUUGGCUUUUAUUUUUGGCUGAAAUGUUAAGUCAGGACUCUGCCACUCCUUAGCAUUUGUUCACUAAUUCCUUAAUACUGAAGUACUACUCUUUUUCUUUUUACAAGAAAGGGUUUUGCUGCAGUGUUCUGGCCAAGCACCAGCUUGGCACUCGGACAAUUUUACUUGACUAAACUGGAGUUCUACUUGAUACAAGACAAUUAUUCGCUCUCUCAAACUGUGGUACUCUUCAUUUCACUUCACAGCUAGCUGCUCUUCAGCGGCACUGGUUUGAAUCAGAAACAGUGUUGGCAGCAGGAACAGGGAAGUAAUUGUUCUCAGCACUGGUGAGGCCGCACCUUGAGUACUGUGUCCAGUUUUGGGCCCCUCACUAUAAGAAAGACAUCGAGGCCCUGGAGUGUGUCCAGAGGAGGGCAACAAAGCUGGGAGGGGUCUGGAGCACAGACCUUAUGAAGAGCGGCUGAAGGAGCUGGGAUUGUUCAGUCUGGAGAAGAGGAGGCUCAGGGGAGACCUUAUUGCUCUCUAUAACUACCUGAAGGGAGGUUGUAGUGAGCUGGGGGUCAGCCUCUUCUCUCACGUGACUAGUGAUAGGACUAGAGGGAAUGGCUUCAAGCUGCGCCAGGGAAGGUUCAGGCUGGACGUUAGGAAAUACUACUCCUCUGAAAGGGUGAUCAGGCACUGGAAUGGGCUGCCCAGAGAGGUGGUGGAGUCACCGAGCCUGGUGGUGUUCAAGGAACAUUUGGAUGUUGUGUUGAGAGACAUGGUUUAGUGAGAACUAUUGGUGAUGGGUGGAUGGUUGGACUGGGUGAUCCUGUGGGUCUUUUCCAACCUUGGUGAUUCUAUGAUUCUAUGAAUUCAUUUUCUCACUUAUGAAAUAAAAACCACGGUACAUUUUACCCUUAUGUCUAUAUUAGAAGAUUUAAUAUUAAUAUUAUUUAAGUAGAAUAUACAUUUAUUCUACCAAUAGUAUUAGUGUCAUGAUUUCAAUAUGUAUUCUUUAUACUUUAAUUAGUUUAAAACUAAGGGUUUACAGUUUAAUCCCAGCAAAAACUUGUUUCACCAUGUUACGAAAUCAGUGGGAACAAAGAGCAUCCAACAAAGCAACGCUGGUUAUUCUGAUUACAAGUCAGGCCUGAUCCAAAGCACAUGGACUGAAUUAUUGAUGUCAUCCUGUCUUCAAAAGGCCUGGAAUCAGACCGUUCGAGAAGACAAUCAAUAGUGCCAGUCAGAACUGGGAAUGAAUAGCCAAAUCAGCUGAUAAAUAAGAAAUAGCAAGUAAACUUUGUUUAGAUGGUUACAGAAAAUUGAACGAUGUCAAGCAAUACAGUAAAUUAACAUCUUGAUGAGUCAUGUUCCUGUGCUGAAAAAUCAAUUCUGAUUGUUUUAUCUUUUAAAUUUCUGGGGAGAAAAAAAAGACUGAAAUGAGAAUUAGUUUGCCUAUGCCAUAUAAAGUACAGAAUUUAAAGUGUUUUCGAAAGAAAUGUGUUAAAAUUGCUGUGUACUGCAAAGCAACGGAAGCAUUGGAGUCACAGGAUGAGUGGAAGAGAAAAUAACAUUGACUGUACCGUUAACAUCUUUUUAAUAGCUUUUCUCUGUUUCUGUAUGCCCAUCUCACAAAAAUUUUAGGAUCUCAAGCUUUGUUUCAUUUUCCAACAUCAAAUAUACUCAUCUUAUUCAUACUAUUCAUAUGAAAUAAAUUGGUAUUAGAGUACUAUAAUUGAAAAGAAAAUCAAGCAUUUAAUCUACUGUAAAACAAAUCACAAAUAAAUCAAAGUACAAAUCUAUAGAAUAUUGGGGAAAAAAAAAAAGAUAACUUACUUUUGCCUUAAACUCAAGAAUAGUUUAUUACAGCUGACAAAUGCUAUAUCUAAGAUGAAAUUUUUGAGGAGAUAAACUGUUGGACUAUACCAGUUACUUCUAUCUGCUCAACAGUGCUAUUUUUCUAUUAUAAACAUGUGGGAUCAUGUAGAUGGCUUUAGUGAAAUUGGAG
ensembl:lncRNA